rnacentral:tRNA from 1 species
GCCGCCGUGCCCGAGCGGUCAAGGGGCCUGCCUGCUAAGCAGGUCCCCGUAUGGGGGCGGGGGUUCGAAUCCCCCCGGCGGCG